UAGCGAAGCUCUUGAUCGAAGCCCGAGUAAACGGCGGCCGUAACUAUAACGGUCCUAAGGUAGCGAAAUUCCUUGUCGGUUAAAUACCGACCUGCAUGAAUGGCGUAACGAGAUGGGAGCUGUCUCAAAGAGGGAUCCAGUGAAAUUGUAGUGGAGGUGAAAAUUCCUCCUACCCGCGGCAAGACGGAAAGACCCCGUGGACCUUUACUACAGCUUGACACUGCUACUUGGAUAAGAAUGUGCAGGAUAGGUGGGAGGCUUUGAGUAUAUGACGCCAGUUGUAUAUGAGCCAUUGUUGAGAUACCACUCUUUCUUAUUUGGGUAGCUAACCAGCUUGAGUUAUCCUCAAGUGGGACAAUGUCUGGUGGGUAGUUUGACUGGGGCGGUCGCCUACCAAAUAAUAACGGAGGCUUACAAAGGUUGGCUCAGAACGGUUGGAAAUCG
rnacentral:rRNA from 1 species